rnacentral:rRNA from 1 species
AUUGAACGCUGGCGGCAUGCUUUACACAUGCAAGUCGAACGGCAGCGCGGGCUUCGGCCUGGCGGCGAGUGGCGAACGGGUGAGUAAUACAUCGGAACGUGCCCAGUAGUGGGGGAUAGCUCGGCGAAAGCCGGAUUAAUACCGCAUACGACCUGAGGGUGAAAGCGGGGGAUCUUCGGACCUCGCGCUAUUGGAGCGGCCGAUGGCAGAUUAGCUAGUUGGUGGGGUAAAGGCCUACCAAGGCGACGAUCUGUAGCUGGUCUGAGAGGACGACCAGCCACACUGGGACUGAGACACGGCCCAGACUCCUACGGGAGGCAGCAGUGGGGAAUUUUGGACAAUGGGCGAAAGCCUGAUCCAGCAAUGCCGCGUGUGUGAUGAAGGCCUUCGGGUUGUAAAGCACUUUUGGCGGGAACGAAAAGGACUGCGCCAAUACCACGGUUCGAUGACGGUACCCGCAGAAUAAGCACCGGCUAACUACGUG